rnacentral:lncRNA from 1 species
UCUACAAAACAAAUAUACUUUAGUAUAAAUAAAAGUAUAUCUCAAUAAUAACAUACGAUUAUUUGGCAUGUAUAGUUGGUAAAUGGGUUCGGCAAUAGCGGUGUAUUAUCAGGGAGGUUUGCGGUCAAAGUUUGGUCUUGGUCGUGGGAAGUUUUGGCGGGUAGGUGGUGAUGGAUACUGAGGAGGUUGGGAAUUGUAAGCUUGGUAUACGGGUGCAAGUUGGAAAUAUCCUGUCUAGGUGGGCUGAUAUGGUUGGUAGACGGGUGAUGGAUUUUGAUAGGUAGGUGAGGGUGCCUGGUAUUUUAGAGAGGGUUGGUAUGUGAGUGGAGUCGGAGGGUAGGGUUGGUAUUUCAUGGGAGAUUGGUUUCUUUGUGCAGCCAUUACGGAGUUUACGUCCUUUUUCUUCGACGUACCACCAGAUUGUAAGGCUUUGUUGGUGGCCUGUAGUACCUCAAGGUUAGUAACCAUACCAUUUUUUAUCCCCUCUUCGAUCCUUUCCCCUAGUUUGAUGAUAUUAGCAAACUCCUGCCCCUCUAUCAGCAUCAAUCUCUCGUAGUACUGCGGAUCUUGAGCACGGACAAAAAACAUGUUCAUUUGUUCCUCUUCCAAAGCCGGUCUGACCUUGGCAGCUUCCGACCUUCAACGAGUAGCAUACUCGCGCAAGGUUUCAUAGGCUUUUUCUUCAAAUUCUGGAUAUAGAAUACGUCUGGCGCAUUCUCAGUGUUAAACCUGAAACAGUCCAUGAAAUCGGACGCCACCCAGCUCGUCCACUUCUUCGCAUCUUGGAUCAUAUACCAAGAUAACACCUUUCAGGCUCCUCAUGAAUAGCUUCAUGCAGAUCUUUACAUCUCUACCAACUCCCACCAACUUGUCACAAUACAUCCUGAG